UUCCCUGUAGCUCAAAUGGUAAAGAGUCUGCCUGUAAUGCAGGAGACCCGGGUUCGAUCCCUGGGUCGGAAA
rfam:TPA: Bos taurus chromosome 8, whole genome shotgun sequence.